GUGCUUGCUUUGGCAGCACAUAUACUAAAAUUGGAAUGCUACAGAGAUUAGCAUGGCCCUGUGCUAGGAUGGACACACAAAUUCAUGGAGCAUUCCAUAUUUUU